CAGUAGUCAUAUGCUUGUUUCAAAGAUUAAGCCAUGCAUGUCUAAGUACAUACUUUUAGCAAAGUGAAACCGCAAAUGGCUCAUUAAAUCAGUCAUGGUUUACUAGACCGUACUAAUUACUUGGAUAACUGUGGUAAUUCUAGAGCUAAUACAUGCCUCGAGUCUCUGACCCUUUGGGGGAAGAGCGCACUUAUUAGACCAAAACCGAUCGGGGCUUCGGCCUCGUACUGGUAAUGGUGACUCUGGAUAAUUAUGCAGAUCGCACGGUCCUGGUACCGGCGACGUAUCUUUCAAAUGUCUGCCUUAUCAACUUGAUGGUAGGUUACUUGCCUACCAUGGUUGUAACGGGUGACGGGGAAUCAGGGUUCGAUUCCGGAGAGGGAGCCUGAGAGACGGCUACCACAUCCAAGGAAGGCAGCAGGCACGUAAAUUACCCAAUCCCGGAACGGGGAGGUAGUGACGAAAAAUAACAAUGCGGGACUCUUACGAGGCCCCGUAAUUGGAAUGAGUGCAAUAUAAAUCCGUUAUAUGAGGAUCUAUUGGAGGGCAAGUCUGGUGCCAGCAGCCGCGGUAAUUCCAGCUCCAAUAGCGUAUAUUAAAGUUGUUGUGGUUAAAAAGCUCGUAGUUGGAUGUCAGUCUAGAGCGAGUGGUCCACCUUCUGGGUGGUUACUGUUCGUAUCGAGACAAGUAUGCCGGCCUUGCCCGUGAUGCUCUUCAUCGGGUGUCACCGGGUGGCUGGAGACUUUACUUUGAAAAAAUUGGAGUGCUCAAAGCAAGCGAGAGCCGCUUGCACACCUCAGCAUGGAAUAAUGGAAUACGACCUCGUGUCUAUUUUGUUGGUUUCCGGAGUACGAGGUAAUGAUUAAUUGGGACUGCCGGGGGCAUUCGUAUUGCAGCGCGAGAGGUGAAAUUCUUGGACCGUUGCAAGACGUCCCAGAGCGAAAGCAUUUGCCAAGAAUGUUUUCAUUAAUCAAGAACGAAAGUUAGAGGUUCGAAGGCGAUCAGAUACCGCCCUAGUUCUAACCAUAAACGAUGCCAACCAGCGAUCAGCGAGCGUUCCUCCAAUGACGCUGCUGGCAACUUCCGGGAAACCAAAGUAUUUGGGUUCCAGGGGAAGUAUGGUUGCAAAGCUGAAACUUAAAGGAAUUGACGGAAGGGCACCACCAGGAGUGGAGCCUGCGGCUUAAUUUGACUCAACACGGGAAACCUCACCCGGCCCGGACACUGGAAGGAUUGACAGAUUGAGAGCUCUUUCUUGAUUUAGUGGAUGGUGGUGCAUGGCCGUUCUUAGUUGGUGGAGCGAUUUGUCUGGUUAAUUCCGAUAACGAACGAGACUCUGGCCUAUUAAAUAGAAGGUCGAUAACAUGCAGUCGACCAGCUCUUCUUAGAGGGACAGGCGGCUUUUAGCCGCACGAAAUAGAGCAAUAACAGGUCUGUGAUGCCCUUAGAUGUCCGGGGCCGCACGCGGGCUACACUGAAGGAAUCAGCUGGUGACAUCCCUAUGCCGUAAGGACUGGGUAAUCCGCUGAAACUCCUUCAUGAUAGGGACUGGGGCUUGAAAUUCUUGCCCACAAACGAGGAAUUCCCAGUAAGUGCGAGUCAUCAACUCGCACUGAUUACGUCCCUGCCCUUUGUACACACCGCCCGUCGCUACUACCGAUUGAAUGAUUUAGUGAGGUCUUCGGCCUGGGACCUGGCGAGACACCCUCCGUGGUGUCGAGCCUGCUGCCUUGGAAAGAUGACCGAACUUGACUAUUUAGAGGAAGUAAAAGUCGUAACAAGGUAACCGUAGGUGA
rnacentral:rRNA from 1 species